rnacentral:rRNA from 1 species
UACGGAGGAUGCAAGCGUUAUCCGGAAUGAUUGGGCGUAAAGCGUCUGUAGGUGGUUUUUAAAGUCUUCUGUCAAAAAUCAGGGCUUAACCCUGAUCCGGCAACAGAAACUAGUAAACUUGAGUACGGUAGGGGCAGAGGGAAUUCUCGGUGUAGUGGUGAAAUACGUAGAUAUCGAGAAGAACACCAAUAGCGAAAGCACUCUGCUGGGCCGAAACUGACAUUGAGAGACGAAAGCUAGGGGAGCAAAAGGG